UGCUGCUGGAUGGGAACCGUCUACAUUUGCUAGAGUGUUCCUCUGGCUGCAGUCUUCUCUCAUAAGAAUGAGGGGGAUGAUGAUCCCUGCCCUGACUCUCCACACAGCCAGGGAGAGCGCGAGUAACGUGUGCACGCACACGAGCACGCACACACACACACACACACACACACACUACUGGAUGUCUUUCUGGAUGUCAGUGUUGUUUUAAUUAAUUAUGUGUGUGUCUUUUGUAAAAAAUAAAAAAUAAUAAUUAUAGUGUUAAAAAAUAUUAGAUGAGAUCCAUCCCACCCCCUAGUCACCGAAUCCUACCCCUCCCCUCGAAAAUAUUAGUUUACUACUUAUUCAUGAAAACAUAAUUUUUGGCAUUUCGCAGCACUGUUUCAAUGAAUAGAGUAGCUGUAAUACCUACAUUGGACACAAUCUUACACACUGCACCUUUUUAAAAUCCCUUGCGCAUAGAAGCAGUAAACUUUUAAAUAAGUCCAAUUCAAAGGAGUUAUCCGUACUGCAUAUUAUAGUAUGGUGUGUUGUAUUAUCUUUUUAUUGCCAGUAUUUCAUUGUAAUCUUUUUGGCUGCUACCGUAUGUUUUUUAUUUUAUUUUUAUUAUUUAUUUAUUUAUUUAUUUUAUUUAACGCCUGAAGGCAAGACAAAUAGUCUUUGGUGCAGGAAAGGUUUCUUAAUGGUUAUGGCCAUUUCAGUUAGAAGCCAAGUGUUUUGCUUAUUUCUGUGUUAAUGUUUUUUUUUUUUUGCCCUUAAUACCUACUGGGAUCGUGGUUGUUAAUUGAAUGCUUGAUUAAUUUUUGUUUUUUAGAAUAUUAAAUAAACUGACUUUCUACUUUA